rnacentral:rRNA from 1 species
CACGAAACCGUAUGAGCUAAUCAGCAGCAAGUAUAGCUAAUUUCUGUUGCAUAAGAGGUGUGAAGGCUGAUUAGGGGUGAGAGGCUUUACAAGUCCGGUGAUAGCUUGAUUUCUUCUAAAGUAUAGUACUAUCAACAGAUCAGGAGUGACAAGGUUUCUGAUAAGCAUAAAAUUCAUAGGUAAGUAUCAAUUGAUUUAACCAUUUGUUGAUUUAUAUAUAAAUAUUCUGACUUAAGGAUUAUGUCGAGUAGAAGAGAGUAGGAAACAUGUUAACCUAUCUAUAAUGUUGAUAUAAGUAGUAGAGUAGUUAUUGUUAGUGAACUCGGCAAGAGGGCUUUCAACUGUUUACCAAAAACAUAGCUGUAUGAUAUUACUUACAGUACUUUCUGCUCAAUGAGUCUUAAAUAGCCGCAGUACCCUGACUGUGCAAAGGUAGCGAAAUCAAUUGGCUUCUAAUUAAAGUCUUGUAUCAACGAAUAUAUGGGGGCCCGCUAUACCAAUGAUAGAUCUUGAAUUUGCUUAGGGAGUGCAAAUACUCCUAGAACUUAAUAGACGAGAAGACCCUAGAAAUUUUUACAAGUGUUUUUGUUGGGGCAACAUAGUAACAAAUAAUUUACUCUAUGGACAAGAAAAGUAUUAGAAAGCAAAAAUUACUCUAGGGAUAACAGCAUAAUGUAAAAGCGUUUGUGACCUCGAUGUUGGAUUAGGAAGUUAUAGCCUAA